GAUGAACGCUAGCUACAGGCUUAACACAUGCAAGUCGAGGGGCAGCAUGGCCUUAGCUUGCUAAGGCCGAUGGCGACCGGCGCACGGGUGAGUAACACGUAUCCAACCUGCCGUCUACUCUUGGACAGCCUUCUGAAAGGAAGAUUAAUACAAGAUGGCAUCAUGAGUCCGCAUGUUCACAUGAUUAAAGGUAUUCCGGUAGACGAUGGGGAUGCGUUCCAUUAGAUAGUAGGCGGGGUAACGGCCCACCUAGUCUUCGAUGGAUAGGGGUUCUGAGAGGAAGGUCCCCCACAUUGGAACUGAGACACGGUCCAAACUCCUACGGGAGGCAGCAGUGAGGAAUAUUGGUCAAUGGGCGAGAGCCUGAACCAGCCAAGUAGCGUGAAGGAUGACUGCCCUAUGGGUUGUAAACUUCUUUUAUAAAGGAAUAAAGUCGGGUAUGGAUACCCGUUUGCAUGUACUUUAUGAAUAAGGAUCGGCUAACUCCGUGCCAGCAGCCGCGGGUAUACGGAAGGAUCCGAGCGGUAUCCGGAAUUAUUGGGGUUAAGGGAAGCGUAAAAGGAUGUUUAGUCAGUUGUGAAAGUUUGCGGCUCAACCGUAAAAUUGCAGUUGAUACUGGAUAUCUUGAGUGCAGUUGAGGCAGGCGGAAUUCGUGGUGUAGCGGUGAAAUGCUUAGAUAUCACGAAGAACUCCGAUUGCGAAGGCAGCCUGCUAAGCUGCAACUGACAUUGAGGCUCGAAAGUGUGGGUAUCAAACAGGAUUAGAUACCCUGGUAGUCCACACGGUAAACGAUGAAUACUCGCUGUUUGCGAUAUACAGCAAGCGGCCAAGCGAAAGCGUUAAGUAUUCCACCUGGGGAGUACGCCGGCAACGGUGAAACUCAAAGGAAUUGACGGGGGCCCGCACAAGCGGAGGAACAUGUGGUUUAAUUCGAUGAUACGCGAGGAACCUUACCCGGGCUUAAAUUGCAGAUGAAUUACGGUGAAAGCCGUAAGCCGCAAGGCAUCUGUGAAGGUGCUGCAUGGUUGUCGUCAGCUCGUGCCGUGAGGUGUCGGCUUAAGUGCCAUAACGAGCGCAACCCUUGUUGUCAGUUACUAACAGGUUCUGCUGAGGACUCUGACAAGACUGCCAUCGUAAGAUGUGAGGAAGGUGGGGAUGACGUCAAAUCAGCACGGCCCUUACGUCCGGGGCUACACACGUGUUACAAUGGGGGGUACAGAGGGCCGCUACCACGCGAGUGGAUGCCAAUCCCAAAAACCUCUCUCAGUUCGGACUGGAGUCUGCAACCCGACUCCACGAAGCUGGAUUCGCUAGUAAUCGCGCAUCAGCCACGGCGCGGUGAAUACGUUCCCGGGCCU
rnacentral:rRNA from 1 species